CCGUGCUAGGUGGGGAGUUAGCGGUGCCCUGUACCCGCAAUCCGCUACAGCGGGGCCGAAUUCCUGCCUGAGGCACUGGCUGUGAGGACCGUUCUUGGGCAAGGGAUGCUGAAGGCCGGGUCCUGUGCGACGGAGGCUUGCGAACCCCGUCAGGUCCGGAAGGAAGCAGCGGUAAGCAAAUACCUCCGGGUGCCGCAGACAAACCUGGCUGGAGUCACCUACCCGAGUCACGCUCGUGGUUUUGAUGUCGAGGGCGGGUGCACGG
rnacentral:SRP_RNA from 1 species